GCCUGGGUGGCUCAGUCGGUUGAGCUUCCGACUUCAGCUCAGGUCAUGAUCUCGCGGUCCGUGGGUUCGAGCCCCGCGUCGGGCU
rnacentral:tRNA from 1 species